UUCGCCCUUAGAGUUUGAUCCUGGCUCAGGACGAACGCUGGCGGCGCGCCUAACACAUGCAAGUCGAACGGAGCUUAGAGAGCUUGCUUUUUAAGCUUAGUGGCGAACGGGUGAGUAACGCGUGAGUAACCUGCCCUAGAGUGGGGGACAACAGUUGGAAACGACUGCUAAUACCGCAUAAGCCCACGGUACCGCAUGAUACUGAGGGAAAAGGAUUUAUUCGCUUUAGGAUGGACUCGCGUCCAAUUAGCUAGUUGGUGGGGUAACGGCCUACCAAGUCGACGAUCAGUAGCCGGACUGAGAGGUUGAACGGCCACAUUGGGACUGAGAUACGGCCCAGACUCCUACGGGAGGCAGCAGUGGGGAAUAUUGCACAAUGGGGGAAACCCUGAUGCAGCAACGCCGCGUGAAGGAUGACGGUUUUCGGAUUGUAAACUUCUUUUCUUAGUGACGAAGACAGUGACGGUAGCUAAGGAAUAAGCAUCGGCUAACUACGUGCCAGCAGCCGCGGUAAUACGUAGGAUGCAAGCGUUAUCCGGAUUUACUGGGUGUAAAGGGAGCGCAGGCGGGACUGCAAGUUGGAUGUGAAAUACCGUGGCUUAACCACGGAACUGCAUCCAAAACUGUAGUUCUUGAGUGAAGUAGAGGCAAGCGGAAUUCCCGGUGUAGCGGUGGAAUGCGUAGAUAUCGGGAGGAACACCAGUGGCGAAGGCGGCCUACUGGGCACCAACUGACGCUGAGGCUCGAAAGUGUGGGUAGCAAACAGGAUUAGAUACCCUGGUAGUCCACACCGUAAACGAUGAUUACUAGGUGUUGGAGGAUUGACCCCUUCAGUGCCGCAGUUAACACAAUAAGUAAUCCACCUGGGGAGUACGACCGCAAGGUUGAAACUCAAAGGAAUUGACGGGGGCCCGCACAAGCAGUGGAGUAUGUGGUUUAAUUCGACGCAACGCGAAGAACCUUACCAAGUCUUGACAUCCUGCGACGAUGCUGGAAACAGUAUUUUCCUUCGGGACGCAGAGACAGGUGGUGCAUGGUUGUCGUCAGCUCGUGUCGUGAGAUGUUGGGUUAAGUCCCGCAACGAGCGCAACCCUUAUGGUCAGUUACUACGCAAGAGGACUCUGGCCAGACUGCCGUUGACAAAACGGAGGAAGGUGGGGAUGACGUCAAAUCAUCAUGCCCUUUAUGACUUGGGCUACACACGUACUACAAUGGCGUUAAACAAAGAGAAGCAAGACCGCGAGGUGGAGCAAAACUCAGAAACAACGUCCCAGUUCGGACUGCAGGCUGCAACUCGCCUGCACGAAGUCGGAAUUGCUAGUAAUCGCAGAUCAGCAUGCUGCGGUGAAUACGUUCCCGGGCCUUGUACUCACCGCCCGUCA
rnacentral:rRNA from 1 species